rnacentral:rRNA from 1 species
UACAGAGGGUGCAAGCGUUAAUCGGAAUUACUGGGCGUAAAGCGCGCGUAGGUGGUUCGUUAAGUUGGAUGUGAAAUCCCCGGGCUCAACCUGGGAACUGCAUUCAAAACUGUCGAGCUAGAGUAUGGUAGAGGGUGGUGGAAUUUCCUGUGUAGCGGUGAAAUGCGUAGAUAUAGGAAGGAACACCAGUGGCGAAGGCGACCACCUGGACUGAUACUGACACUCAAGUGCGAAAGCGUGGGGAGCAAACAGG